rnacentral:rRNA from 1 species
CCGAAAGAUCGAAUGAGGAGACUCAUCGUCAUUGGAGUCGGCUUCCGUGUGGUACGGCGAUGUCUGAGACGGUACACUCGUGCUUGUCAAUUUCACGCGUCCGCUGCGGUAUGUCCGAUUGCGUCGACGUGCACUUCUCCUCUAGUAGAACGUCGCGACCCGCUGAGUGUCGGUUUAAGGGCCAAGGUCGUUGACUACUCCGUCGCUUCGGCGUACGGUCUUAGACGUUUGGACUCCCGACCGACUUCUCGGCGGUCUUCGUUACGGUAUUGAGCCGCAAUCGAAUGCGUUCAGGCGCGUCGCAAGUCUUAACCACAUUCUCCGGAACUUACGGACCCAGUGCCGUGUCCGGGAUUGGUUAGCUGUUGGUCGACGAUGUCCUCGAACUGGCUUAUCAUUUACCGGUCAGCGACGCUAUUGCUUCGGGUGCUUUCAGGACCCGUCUUGAAACACGGACCAAGGAGUCUAACAUGUGCGCGAGUCAUUGGGACAUUGAAACCUAAAGGCGCAUUGAAAGAGAAGAUCGACCUCGCGUCGAUCGAGGGAGGAUGGGCGACGUUAAAAUGUUGCCUCGCACUCCCGGGGCGUAUCGUAGUCAUUGCGACUUGAUGCGCACCCAGAGCGUACACGUUGGGACCCGAAAGAUGGUGAACUAUGCCUGGUCAGGAUGAAGUCAGGGGAAACCCUGAUGGAGGUCCGUAGCGAUUCUGACGUGCAAAUCGAUCGUCGGAACUGGGUAUAGGGGC